UAAAAGUUUUAUUUUAGCUUAAAAAUUGAUUUUUAUUUUUAUUUAUAUGUAAAUUAUAGUGUAAAAUAUAAAGAUUUAAAUAAUUAUUUAAAGUGAUCGCAGUAAAUAAAAUUAAAAUUUAAAGAAAUUUAGAUUUAGAAAUUAUAUUUAAUAUAAACAAAAUUUGUGCCAGCAGUUGCGGUUAUACAAAUUAUGUAAGUUAAUUUGUUUAUAAUUUAAUUAGUUUUGUAAUUAUUUAAUUUUAAAAAUAAAAUUAUUGGGUGAAAUUUUAAUUUUAUUUAAAAAUUUAUAUUGUUUAUGAUUUAAUAAAUUUAAAAGUUAAACUAGGAUUAGAUACCCUAUUAUUUUAAAAUUAAAUUAGUUAAAUUUGGAUUAUUAAUAGUUAUGAUCUUUAAAAUUAAAAAUUUUGGCGGUAUUUUAAUCUAUUCAGAGGAAUCUGUUUUUUAAUUGAUAUUCCACGAUUUAAUUUACUUAUAUUAUAUUUGUAUAUCGUUGUAAUUUGAAUAUUUUAUAAGAAUUUAAAUAUUCAAAAAAUUUUUUUAAUUAUAAGUCAGAUCAAGAUGCGGUUUAUAUAUAAGUUAAAAUGGAUUACAUUAAUUUUAAUUUGAUAAUUAAAUUUUUAAAAUUUAAUGAAAUUGGAUUUGAAAGUAAUUUAAUUUAAAUUUUUUAAAUGAUUAAGUUCUAAAAUAUGUACAUAUUGCCCGUCGCUUUCAUUUAAAAUGAAAUAAGUCGUAACAAAGUAGAUAUACUGGAAAGUGUGUCUAGAAAGAA
rnacentral:ncRNA from 1 species